rnacentral:lncRNA from 1 species
CCAGAAAGCCAACUUCCAACUAAUGCCCCAGCCAGAUUUAUUUACGUGCAAAACUUAUACUUGCAAGUAUCUACUUAAUUGAGUAUUAAUGAAAAAAUUGCUCUAAAAUAAUCAAAAUGGGUUCUUUUAUUGCAUAUGCAGUUAUUAGAGAAAUCUAGCUUGGAAAAAAAUUUUUUUUCAGAAUUCGUGACCCUGGUGGGAUUUCCCUUUGCCCUGACUAACAUCUUCAUCACUUGGGGUAUUUGAGGACCAGCUUGCCUGCUGAUGGACCAGACCCAGUGGCCACAACCAGGACCCUUUGGUCCCUGGACUCCUCUUCAUGUGGACAACUGGCCAGAGUGCCCUGACUGGAGUAUUGGUGAAGAUUAAUGCAAUUUGAAGAACUUCGAAAAGAAGAAGCAAGCUGUUCGUGUACAGGAUGACUCAACCAGGAAAGUUCAGUGUAUACAACUGGUCACUUAAAGAUUUGUCUUCAAGAAGCAAAAGCAGGCCUGCAAAGUAUCUGAAGCAACUUUGGACGUGAGGAACAUACUACAGAGAGUUACCCAGACACUAUUAUGACUGGCAGAAAAAGACAUACAGCUCUGUUGGUGGUGCCAUUUUGCCACAGGAGACUCUGGUUUGACGCACCCCAGGCAAGGCCUCUGCAUGCAACACCCAAGAACAAAUGAGACUAGAUGAAGAACAAAGGAAAAGGAAGAAGGUUAGACUUUAUUUCAUUACCCAGAUUCUGUUU